rnacentral:lncRNA from 1 species
GAUAGUUAACUUGCUAUUUUACACCUAAUAUAACUCAAAGGAUUAUGAAAAUAAAUAAAUUCUGCAAUUUAAAAUUGAAUUUGUAUUGUGAGAGAAAUAGCAUUGGACCCUGACUUUAAAUGACAUAAAACAGAUGUUUUAGCAAUGGUCAUUGAGCGGCACAAGGAAGGUCUGGAACAAGAAGGAAAUUCUGGAAGUACCUUCAUUCUUGCUGUGUUCAUCCUUCCCAAGAAUGAGAGAGGCAUCAAUUUCCAUCUAUUAAAGUUUUUUAAAUUGAUUUUCUAGCAUCUCUUAUUUACAGUACAUUUUAAUAUUUUAUAGGUUUCUGGGUAUUGCAUUUUUCCAACAUUUUAUCUUAUCCCAAUCUUAUCGUAAAUUUUUUUUUUUUCUCUAGGGAUAUAGAUUCUCCAAUAACAUUGCUUCAGAAUUUUCUUUGUUUAAUUCCUAUUCUGAAAAGUUGCUGUAGUCUGUGAUUACAUCUGUGAGAACAGGAAAAGAUGUUGAAUUUCUGCUGCAUAUACUGUACUAACAUCAUCUUUAUAAAGAGCCUGAUUGUGUGUUCUCCUGCUAUAUCACCUCCCUCUGUAUCCUUCUGUUGUCUUAUACUCUAAGAAAAUAAAUCAGUGGUGACAAGCAUCUCCUCGUCUUGUUCCCCCGUAUGAAUUAAAGCUCUCUGAAAGAAAACCAUGAGCCUGUUGUGCAUUUGGUUGGUUUUACAUUACAUGUAGUCAAGCA